rnacentral:other from 2 species
UUGGGGCUGCUUGGUAGGUUGUGUAAGUAUUUCCCGAGACCUAUGAUUUUUUUAUGGGAGCUGUCCCUUGUAGAUGCUGUUGGCACUACAAUAUGGCACCCACCUCAAACAAAAAGGUUUGUUGAGGAUCUUAUUAAUAACCGCCGAAGUGGUUCCGCU